UACAGAGGCCCCAAGCGUUACUGAGAAUCACUGGGUUUAAAAGGGUGCGUAGGUGGUCCGUUAAGUCUGUUGUGAAAGCCCUUGGCUCAACCAAGGAAUUGCUUCGGAUACUGGCGGACUUGAGGCUAGUAGAGGUCACUGGAACAAACGGUGGAGCGGUGAAAUGCGUAGAUAUCGUUUGGAACGCCAAUGGUGAAAACAGGUCGCUGGGGAUGAGCUGACGCUGAGACACGAAAGCCAGGGGAGCAAACGGG
rnacentral:rRNA from 1 species